GAUGAACGCUAGCGGCAGGCUUAACACAUGCAAGUCGAGGGGUAUAGUAGCAAUACUAGAGACCGGCGCGCGGGUGCGUAACGCGUAUGCAAUCUACCUUUCACAGAGGGAUAGCCCAGAGAAAUUUGGAUUAAUACCUCAUAGUAUAGUAUCUUGGCAUCAAGGAACUAUUAAAGUCACAACGGUGAAAGAUGAGCAUGCGUCCCAUUAGUUAGUUGGUAAGGUAACGGCUUACCAUGACUACGAUGGGUAGGGGUCCUGAGAGGGAGAUCCACCACACUGUUACUGAGACACGGACCAGACUCCUACGGGAGGCAGCAGUGAGGAAUAUUGGACAAUGGGCGCAAGCCUGAUCCAGCCAUGCCGCGUGCAGGAUGACGGUCCUAUGGAUUGUAAACUGCUUUUGUACAGGAAGAAACACCCCGACGUGUCGGGACUUGACGGUACUGUAAGAAUAAGGAUCGGCUAACUCCGUGCCAGCAGCCGCGGUAA
rnacentral:rRNA from 1 species